rnacentral:rRNA from 1 species
UGCAGUCGAGCGGUAGCACAGAGAGCUUGCUCUCGGGUGACGAGCGGCGGACGGGUGAGUAAUGUCUGGGAAACUGCCUGAUGGAGGGGGAUAACUACUGGAAACGGUAGCUAAUACCGCAUAACGUCGCAAGACCAAAGUGGGGGACCUUCGGGCCUCAUGCCAUCAGAUGUGCCCAGAUGGGAUUAGCUAGUAGGUGGGGUAACGGCUCACCUAGGCGACGAUCCCUAGCUGGUCUGAGAGGAUGACCAGCCACACUGGAACUGAGACACGGUCCAGACUCCUACGGGAGGCAGCAGUGGGGAAUAUUGCACAAUGGGCGCAAGCCUGAUGCAGCCAUGCCGCGUGUGUGAAGAAGGCCUUCGGGUUGUAAAGCACUUUCAGCGGGGAGGAAGGCGUUAAGGUUAAUAACCUUGGCGAUUGACGUUACCCGCAGAAGAAGCACCGGCUAACUCCGUGCCAGCAGCCGCGGUAAUACGGAGGGUGCAAGCGUUAAUCGGAAUUACUGGGCGUAAAGCGCACGCAGGCGGUCUGUCAAGUCGGAUGUGAAAUCCCCGGGCUCAACCUGGGAACUGCAUUCGAAACUGGCAGGCUAGAGUCUUGUAGAGGGGGGGUAGAAUUCCAGGUGUAGCGGUGAAAUGCGUAGAGAUCUGGAGGAAUACCGGUGGCGAAGGCGGCCCCCUGGACAAAGACUGACGCUCAGGUGCGAAAGCGUGGGGAGCAAACAGGAUUAGAUACCCUGGUAGUCCACGCCGUAAACGAUGUCGAUUUGGAGGUUGUGCCCUUGAGGCGUGGCUUCCGGAGCUAACGCGUUAAAUCGACCGCCUGGGGAGUACGGCCGCAAGGUUAAAACUCAAAUGAAUUGACGGGGGCCCGCACAAGCGGUGGAGCAUGUGGUUUAAUUCGAUGCAACGCGAAGAACCUUACCUGGUCUUGACAUCCACAGAAAUUUCCAGAGAUGCAUUGGUGCCUUCGGGAACUGUGAGACAGGUGCUGCAUGGCUGUCGUCAGCUCGUGUUGUGAAAUGUUGGGUUAAGUCCCGCAACGAGCGCAACCCUUAUCCUUUGUUGCCAGCGGUUAGGCCGGGAACUCAAAGGAGACUGCCAGUGAUAACUUGGAG